AUUUAAUUAGUAUAACAAGUAUAUUAAGCUUCCAACUUAAAGGUUUUUAAAAAUAAAUUAAAUA
rnacentral:tRNA from 1 species